CCAGCUGUCCUGCCAAGGGCAUACGCUGGGUAGCCACGCUCCUGAGCGAUAACCGCUGAAAGCAUCUAAGCGGGAAGCGCGCUCCAAGAUGAGGCCUCCAAGGCCGGUCCGAGAAGAGGACCUAGAUAGGCCGGUGGUGGGAGCACCGAGAGGUGUGGAGCCAACCGGUACUAAUAGGCCGAAUCCUUCACCUU
rnacentral:rRNA from 1 species